GACGAACGCUGGCGGCGUGCCUAAUACAUGCAAGUCGAGCGAAGCGGCGGAUGGGUGAGUAACGCGUGGGUAACCUGCCCUUAAGUCUGGGAUACCAUUUGGAAACAGAUGCUAAUACCGGAUACUAAAGGAUGGACCUGCGAUGCAUUAGCUAGUUGGUAAGGUAACGGCUUACCAAGGCGAUGAUGCAUAGACGAGUUAAUAGACUGAUCGGCCACAUUGGGACUGAGACACGUCCCAAACUCCGACGGGAGGCAGCAGUAGGAAGUCUUCCACAAUGGACGAAAGUCUGAUAGAGCAACGCCACGUGAGUGGAGAGGGUUUACGGAUCGUAAAGCUCUGUUGUUGGUGAAGCGGUAAUCAACCAGAAAGUCACGGCUAACUAGGUGCCAGCGGCCGCGGUGAUUC
rnacentral:rRNA from 1 species